UUUAUUUCCAUCCACACACAAAAGUCAAAGACAAGAUGCAAUUAGUUCAACAAAUGAACUACAAGAAGAACAUAAUUAACAAACUAAAACUGAUUAACCAAUUAGAUAUGCACUUGCCUGAGAAAAUCUAAACAGAGAGAGAAGUGAAUAAACAAUAAAAAGGAGCAAAAAUUAAGGGUCAGAAAAUAAUAUGCAGAGCAUUAGCAUUUAAACAUCACCACCACCCAACCCCACCACAUCCAUGCUGCCUCCUCACCUCUUCUUCCCCAAUUUUUUGGAAGUUAUUUCGACAUAAGCAUAACCCAUAGGAGUCCAAUGUCACAUCCUAGGAGGCACAUAUGUUUCCGUUGUAACAUUUCAUCCAACCAGAUUGUAUCAAGAGUUCAAAAUCAUUAUUCCCUCUGCGAAUUUUCAGAGAAGCAAUCCCAACUUGACCAACCCAGGAAAGGAAAUACACUUAAAACUGGUCAGCAUUUUAUUUAAAAAAUUAUAUAUAAUAAAAAAUAAUACAGAAGUUGCUUCAAUAUUUUUGUCCAAACUUGAAGAGAACCGCUUCAUUUUCUGAUAUUGGUUCUAUUUGUAACUAAUGAAUUGCCAUCACUGGGUCAUCGUCAUGAAGCAAACUUUAAACUUCAACAUCUAUCUCCAUGCCAGAAAAAAGAAGCACAAAAAAAAAAAACCUCCUUCACAAUUUGGAAUCCCACCCCAAUCCAAUAAAUAAAUAUAGAUAAAUAAAAGUUGCAAAAAAUAUAAUUCUGGCCAUUAAAAAAGUAUGGGUAUUGGAAUAAGAGAUAAAUAUAAGGAUGCUCUUGCAUGACACCCAAUGACUUUGGUAGUGCCUUUUAUCGCAAACCUUUACAAAUGAUUGGCUCUUUAAUCAAGAACUAGAUCUGGUUUUUAUGGAGAUGCCAUAAA
rnacentral:lncRNA from 1 species